rnacentral:snoRNA from 1 species
ACCCUCCAGUGCCCUUGCCCAUCAGUCCCACACAGGGGUCUGAGUGGUGACAAGAGGAAGACAAGUAAAAUGGUCACUUAAAUUCUUCUGUGACCCACGAGCUCCUUUCAAACAAAC